CGCGUAGGCGGACCUUCAAGUCGGAUGUGAAAUCUCUGGGCUCAACCCAGAGCGUGCAUCCGAUACUGAUGGUCUUGAGUAUAUCAGAGGAAAGCGGAAUUCCAGGUGUAGCGGUGAAAUGCGUAGAUAUCUGGAGGAACACCAGUAGCGAAGGCGGCUUUCUGGGGUAAUACUGACGCUGAAGCGCGAAGGCUAGGGGAGCAAACAGGAUUAGAUACCCUGGUAGUCC
rnacentral:rRNA from 1 species